rnacentral:rRNA from 1 species
UACGUAGGGGGCGAGCGUUGUCCGAAUUUACUGGGCGUAAAGCGCGCGUAGGCGGGUUCUUAAGUCGGGGGUGAAAUCCCGAGGCUCAACCUCGGAACUGCCUCCGAAACUGGGAACCUUGAGGUAUGGAGAGGGAAGUGGAAUUCCUGGUGUAGCGGUGAAAUGCGUAGAUAUCAGGAGGAACACCCGUGGCGAAGGCGGCUUCCUGGCCAUCACCUGACGCUGAGGUGCGAAAGCUAGGGGAGCGAACGGG